AUUUCUGUCUCUUAUCACUAACAGGAGGAGCAAGAAGGUGUAUGUGUAUGCCAAGGGAAUAGUGCAGGGCAUUAUUGUUUCAUGUCCGAAUGGAGACUAGAUCCUAUGUGAGUCCUAAGAUCAAGGAAGCCAGACUAGUUCUGAGAAUAUUCUUUUCUCCUCUCCUCAGCUUCAUGAAGCAGUUUUUACAAGCUCUAAAAAUUUUUACUACCUGUGGAUGAUGCACUCCUUCUGCACCUCUGCGAACUUCCAUUUACACAGUGAUACAUGAAGACAGCAGACCUGUUGCAGUACAGAGAACAGGACUCUAUGGUACACUUGAGUUCUGUGAUGAUAGGGUGUAAAUCCUGUCCAAGAAGGUCAAAAUGUAUUGAAAUACGGAUCUUCAGUGCAACAAGUGACACUCAAGACAUUUGGGUGUCAAAGACUGAGGUUUUAUUGAUCCUUAUACUUGACCUCGAAGCAUAACAGGAAACUAUAAGGAAGAACAUUAAAAAGAAGAAACGAAAAAUUUUAAAUUGAACAGGCAUUAAAUCUCUUAGCCUGUGAGACUUGAGCCUACAAAAAUCAAUUUGUAUAAUGGUAACACUUUGGCUGGCAACCAAUUUAG
rnacentral:lncRNA from 1 species